CUUUUCAGUGCUCAUGGUAACGACGUCGUUUUACGUUACGAUUACUUGCUAUAAAUAUUAAACUGGACUAAAAUUAAGACCUUUUAAUUAACUUACAAAAAAGAUAACCUUUAUAAUAAAAUCGUGUUAAGCCAAAAUCCGCCUCAUCCCUAACCAGUGAGACAGAGAGAGAAAAGCUAUUUCAAUGGCGAUACAGAGCUCGAGUUCGAUCAAAAUUCAUGCUUUAGGCGAUACAACUCAAACCCCUUCUCUGUUUGAAGGGAGCUUCUGCGGGGAACUAUUUCUGGGGCAUUUGGGGAAGGAAUGACUCAUCCAGUUGUCUCUGUAAAUACAUGCAUUCAGAGCCAAGCUAAUCUUUGUGAAAGUCAGGGGUAUGAUCAUAGAGUAGAGAUGUUAUGGAUCUAACAUUCAUGGCUAAUGGGUAAAGCUCAAUUUUUUGGAAGGCAUUUAGCUUGAUAUUAAUUAUAUGUUUUAAGUUUUCUCUCAUUUGGCAUAUACUGGUCCACACUUGAAAGGGAUGUGCCAUUUCCUGGUCUAAUGGUUAUGUUCUAUGAAGGCUUGAAAGAUCGGAUAGAGUAUGGGAAGCAGUACAUAUUCGUAGGGAUGUAGCAAUACCAGGAUUCAUCAGGAUAAUCUAGCUUUAGCGCUUACCUAGAAGGAUUGAGCAAUGAUAACAUGCGAGAGGAGAAUUUUAAAUUUCUUUCCAUUUCGAUCUUGUUUGUUGAACAGCAUGGGGAAUUUUUACAUAUCCAAUUAAAUCAUUUGGACGAGAUUUUUCAUGUAAUCUGGGUAUAUAUGUAUAAAUAAAAAAACGAGGUUUUGCUUUUUCUUUUCUAUUAAAUGUAAAAGUCAUGGACAUGGAACAGGGAAGAGAUGAUUUGAAUAAUCUAUCUACUUUUAGUGGC